GACACGCAUGACACACUGCAUAUCAAUAAGCGGAGGAAAAGAAACUAACUAGGAUUCCCUUAGUAACGGCGAGUGAAGCGGGAAGAGCUCAAAUUUGAAAUCUUCAAGGUUCUACCUUGACGAAUUGUAGUUUAUAAGAAGCUGUUUUCUGUUAGUAGAGUGGCAAAAGUUCUUUGGAAUAGGACAUCAUAGAGGGUGAGAAUCCCGUAUUUGACCGUUACUUUCCAGCUGUGUGAUACACUUUCAAAGAGUCGGAUUGUUUGGGAAUGCAGUCCAAAAUGGGUGGUAAAUUUCAUCUAAAGCUAAAUAUUGGCGAGAGACCGAUAGCGAACAAGUACCGUGAGGGAAAGAUGAAAAGAACUUUGAAAAGAGAGUUAAACAGUACGUGAAAUUGUCAAAAGGGAAGCGUUUGACACCAGUGUUGUUUAGUUGAAAAUCAAUUCAAUAAUUUUUGAUUUUAAGUAGUAUUGACUUCAUCAGCUUGCUGCUUUCUUUUCAGGAAUUAUUGAAUGCACUUUUCAGUUAACAAGCCAACAUCAAUUUCUUUUGUUGUAAAAGGGUAAGAGGAAGGUGGCUUACGUUUCGGCGUAAGUGUUUAUAGCCUUUUACCUCUGCAAUCGGAGAGAUUGAGGACAGCAGCGUAGACUCCUUCUGGGGUUAGAUACACUUGUGCUAAGCUAUAGCCUUGUAUAGACAACUUGUUGACUAUGCUCAGUCAUGUAGCUUACUCGCUUGUGCUAUUUUACCUACGCUUAGGAUGUUGACGCAUGAGAUAUACGC
rnacentral:rRNA from 1 species